CAGAGGUGGCAAGCGUUGUUCGAAUUACUGGGCGUAAAGGGCGCGUAGGCGGCCUUCUAAGUCAGACGUGAAAUCCCCAGGCUUAACUUGGGAACUGCGUCUGAUACUGGAGGGCUCGAGUGCGGGAGAGGGAUGUGGAAUUCCAGGUGUAGCGGUGAAAUGCGUAGAUAUCUGGAGGAACACCGGUGGCGAAGGCGGCAUCCUGGACCGACACUGACGCUGAGGCGCGAAAGCUAGGGGAGCAAACGGGAUUAGAUACCCCGGUAGUCCUAGCCCUAAACGAUGAGUGCUUGGUGUGGCGGGUAUCGAUCCCUGCCGUGCCGAAGCUAACGCAUUAAGCACUCCGCCUGGGGAGUACGGUCGCAAGGCUG
rnacentral:rRNA from 1 species